UUUUAUCUCUCCGAUCUCCAGCUUACUCCAUUUUAACCGCUAUCCUGGACAUGCUGUGUCACUGUCUCUCUGGCUUUUCUCUUCCGUACUUUCUCUUUGCCCAGCUUCUCACCUUCUUCUGGGGUUUUUCACUGUCAAAUGCUGCUGCUGCUUUUCACUCUUUGCUUCCCACUUUUGCAGCUGUCAUCACUCCAGGCCAGCCAUAAAGACCAACUUCCUCUCCGCCAAUUUAAGAGUGCUGCUCGUGACUGCUCGGGUGAUUGCUUUCCACCCCCAGCGCCUACGGAGCUUCCUCUUUAGUUUAUUGAUCUCUCUGAGAUCGGUAAUGCCCUAAAGCGAGCUCUUAGCAAAGAUUUUUCAGGGUUUAGGGACAGAGAUCCAUUCCCUCACCCUGCUCCACGAUGACAUCACUGCCGGAAGUCCUCCGAAAAGAAAGGUUCCGUGCAAUCGAGACAUAGCAGUAUUGUUCUGCAACAGAUUAAAUGCUUUUUACAAUUUGGGUAAAUGGAAUGAGGCUUAUUACUCAGAAGAAGACUGCCUAAAAUGGGAUGCAACUUAUAUUAAGGGGUACUACAGAACAGGUUACUCUCUGAUUAAAUUGUCAAAAUCCCUAAAAGCAGCAGAAAAUUUUUACCAAGGUUUGACUAUUCUCCAGACUUCAUCAGAU